rnacentral:rRNA from 1 species
AACGAACGCUGGCGGCAUGCCUAACACAUGCAAGUCGAACGAGACCUUCGGGUCUAGUGGCGCACGGGUGCGUAACGCGUGGGAACCUGCCUUUAGGUUCGGAAUAACUCAGAGAAAUUUGAGCUAAUACCGGAUGAUGUCUUCGGACCAAAGAUUUAUCGCCUUUAGGUGGGCCCGCGUUGGAUUAGCUAGUUGGUGGGGUAAAGGCCUACCAAGGCGACGAUCCAUAGCUGGUCUGAGAGGAUGAUCAGCCACACUGGGACUGAGACACGGCCCAGACUCCUACGGGAGGCAGCAGUGGGGAAUAUUGGACAAUGGGCGAAAGCCUGAUCCAGCAAUGCCGCGUGAGUGAUGAAGGCCUUAGGGUUGUAAAGCUCUUUUACCCGAGAUGAUAAUGACAGUAUCGGGAGAAUAAGCUCCGGCUAACUCCGUG